CAAUCACGGCGGACCUACGGCUAUCAAGAGAGCUCUAUUUGAAGUAGGCUGACUGCAGGUUGGAAGAGCCAUGUGAAGCUUCUUUGUGCCUCUAUCUGGUGUGCAUCCUUGCCAUUAGGAUGGGGCAGCUUGUCAAUAAUUGCUAAGAUAAGGGCAACUCUGGAGUUAAUUAUCACACCAGUGACCUUUCUUCUUUCAUCGCUCCUCCCCGUUAUUAUUUUGCCUCUUACUGGUUUUCACUCUUCCAAUGUUUGUCCCCUCAGAAAUUACAUGGGAAUGCUUAGAGAUGCUGUUACUGAGCCAACUUUCCAAGGAAAUUCAUCGAGGACGAAUGUUACAUUACAGCAGUAAAGAUGACAUCUACAAUUUUUAGUCGACAGAGAAGAGGGAAAUAGAAAAUUGCAUUUACAUCAGGACUUCAGUAAGUCACUUGAUUGGCUGCUGCAUCUGUAACAUAAACCCUGGUCUGGAUGUUAGCCAAAUGCAGAGAGCCUGUCAGGAUGGGAGAGCCGAGAGCCCCGGCGAACGGGAAGCGCAGGAGCGGAGAGUCGCCUCUUGUUAAAUUACGGAAAGGACGGGAGGCAAGGGGGCAGGAAGAAAGGUUAGAGCACAAAUUUCCCUCAAAGGUACCUGUCAUGUUGGGAGGGGGGCCUCCAUUUUCUCUCCACCCUGUAAAGGUACAUCUUACCAACCAUGUUUGACAAAGAGACAAUUUUCUGCUUCAGGUGCAGGAAAAACGUGUUUAAAUCCCAUAUAGUGACACAUUAUUUCAAAAAAUGUUCACAAGCUUUUCUGAAGGUGGACUAUUGACUUUGGCUGUACAGUGUUACCUUGACUUACCCAUUUAAUAUGUUCCAACACCACACCCAUGAUUUAAAAUGUGUAUCUCAAAUCAUCGUUCGGCUUUGAAAUGAACGGAAAUGCCAUGAAUCCAAUUUAGUAUUUUAAAAAGAAAAUUGCCGAACUUAAUAAAAACAUACAGUAAUAGCAAAAUGAAAUAUAAUGUAAUGAAUUGGACUUUUUGUGUAUCACAAUUACAUGCUUCAAUACCCGAUGGCAUUGUCCUUCUUCUUGGAUGCGCAUGCCUUGACCCCCAAGGGCUAUUAACAUAUCAGAAAAUACAUACAAAGAAGGUAUACUCAGUAACCUGCAGUAAUAUUGGUUGUUUUUUGCAGACAAAAUUUAAACCUAUGAGUAUUGUUUUUGUCUGUCUACUUAAGCUUCUGUAACAUUUUUCAGUAAAUAUUCAUUUAUUAAUAAUAUUGCUGGGACAAAAAAAAAGGAAUUGAUCAAAACUAUUAGAAAUCAAGAAUUAGUAUAUCCGUAGUGUUUUUUACAUGGACAGCUGCAUAUCCCUGGGCUUGGAAAAUGUUGGUAAGGCUACUUUGUUUAAAUAGUGCAUUUCAUACACAAACUCAAUGCCCUUUACAUGAUUAGAAGCAUUUAAAAACAAAGAAAACAACGGCUUAUAAACAUUAAAAAGAGGAAAAAAUAAAAGUACAAUUUAAACAGCGUACAGUGCAAGAAAUAUCAUUUGAAAAUGGAAAUGCUCUAAAAAUAAAUACACAAAGGGAAAUGAUCUUUAUGUUUGUUUGGUUUAACAGU